AGUGAACGCUGGCGGUAGGCCUAACACAUGCAAGUCGAACGGCAGCACAGUAAGAGCUUGCUCUUACGGGUGGCGAGUGGCGGACGGGUGAGGAAUACAUCGGAAUCUACUUUUUCGUGGGGGAUAACGUAGGGAAACUUACGCUAAUACCGCAUACGACCUACGGGUGAAAGCAGGGGAUCUUCGGACCUUGCGCGAUUGAAUGAGCCGAUGUCGGAUUAGCUAGUUGGCGGGGUAAAGGCCCACCAAGGCGACGAUCCGUAGCUGGUCUGAGAGGAUGGACAACCACACGGGAACUGAGGCACAGUCCAGAAUCCUAGGGGAAGCCGCAGCGGGGAAUAUUAGGGGAUGGACGAGAGCCUGAUCCAGCCAUACCGCGGGAGUGAAGAAGGCCUUCGGGUUGUAGAGCCCUUUAGUUGGGAAAAAAAAGAAGCAGGUUAAUACCCCGCGGUUCUGACGGUACCCAAAGAAUAAGCACCGGCUAACUUCGUG
rnacentral:rRNA from 1 species